rnacentral:rRNA from 1 species
AGUGAACGCUGGCGGUAGGCCUAACACAUGCAAGUCGAACGGCAGCACAGUAAGAGCUUGCUCUUACGGGUGGCGAGUUGCGGACGGGUGAGGAAUACAUCGGAAUCUACUUUUUCGUGGGGGAUAACGUAGGGAAACUUACGCUAAUACCGCAUACGACCUACGGGUGAAAGCAGGGGAUCUUCGGACCUUGCGCGAUUGGAUGAGCCGAUGUCGGAUUAGCUAGUUGGCGGGGUAAAGGCCCACCAAGGCGACGAUCCGUAGCUGGUCUGAGAGGAUGAUCAGCCACACUGGAACUGAGACACGGUCAAGACUCCUACGGGAGGAAGCAGUGGGGAAUAUUGGACAAUGGGCGCAAGCCUGAUCCAGCCAUACCGCGUGGGUGAAGAAGGCCUUCGGGUUGUAAAGCCCUUUUGUUGGGAAAGAAAAGCAGCAGGUUAAUACCCCGCUGUUCUGACGGUACCCAAAGAAUAAGCACCGGCUAACUUCGUG